AUGUCACCUCUGGCUCCACUUGAAAAUGGCGCCGAAAUCGAAGAACUUCUUAAAUUUCAUUGUAAGCUUUUUGCAAAGGUUUCUGGGAUUUUCCUGCGAAGCUGCUUCGCUGCCGUCAGAGAGCUAGCGAACGGGCCAGCGAAGUUGCAGGGCGCGAGGUGGCGGGCACCGCGCAACCAGGACGAGGAGCCGGCAGCCGGGGUCGCGGGCAAGGAGGGCGCGCUCUCGCUCUGGCAGUGGCCGAAACUCGCAGAGCAGCGUGGCGGAAGCAGAGCAGGCGGAGCGGUUGGAGCGGACGGAGCGGAGCCGAGCGAGGGGCUGGAGCUGCGCGCACCCAGGGAAGCGCGCCGGGCAGCCAGCAGCCAGCCUCCUGGAGUGGCCCUAGAAAAAGCCGGCUGGGGGGGCGUGGCCACGCCGUGCUCACGCUCCCCGCCCCCCUGCUCCCCUCCGCUCCUCUGGGGCCCGGGGGCGGAAGGGGGGAGGGGAAGAGAGGGAGCAGUUGGGAAGCAGGGGUGUGCGGGCGCUGGACGCCAAGGCGUUGGCUCUUGGCCAGGGAGGGUCGAGAAGGGCACGAGGGCGCCCAGAAUAGCCUAUACAGAGCUGAAUAGCGGCAGCGGGGCUGGGGUGGGGUGGGGUGUCAGGGAGAAAAAGGGGGACGUUGGAAAAUGCCAAUGCCAAGGGCACAAGGUAGCGCAGCGUACACCUAGGGACCAGUUCGAUGGACGCGAAUCGCGCUCACCGGCCCCUCCUAGAGUUCUUUGGGCUGCCGGGUGGGCGCAAAGUGGUAGAGCGAAGCCUCUGGCACUGGGCUUCGCAGCGGUGCCUGGAGAAGUUUGGGGGGCUCACACCGCGUGACUGUAGCUCUCACCACGCCUUAGACUCCCCUGCGCUGCUAAGCUCUCCGACACACAAGGCCAUGGUCAAAGCCAUUCCCAUAUGCGCUGGCCCUCCUCCUUGGGGGUGCAUAGCACGGAGGGAAGGCACUAUUGUUUACACGUGUGCACGCAGUUCAAGAAGGGAAACUGAGUAAGCUAUUAGUGAUGAUGUUAUUUCGUAAGUGUGAAAAUGCUAUUGAAGGCAAAUAAGAGGAUAUUCUUAUUCCUAGAAGAUGCACGCUGAAGGGAAGAGGGGUGAAAUGUCACGUUGUCUGCAUUUUUCAAAUGAUGCAGCUAGCUUUCGCGCGCGCGCGCACACACACCCACCCACCAGGGAAGGGAGCCCGGGAGGGGGGGAGGAGAAAGUAAUGUGUGUUAACAGUUGUUGCAUGCGUGUGUGUGUGUGUGUGUGUGUGUGUGGACAAACGCUUGUACUGUUCUUUCAACUUCGCUGGAUAUUUGCAAAAUGUCAUAAUAAAAAGAUUGGAGGCACUUUUGAAAUAGGGCCU
rnacentral:lncRNA from 1 species